AACCCCCAGUACACUUGAAAUCGGAGGGGCACUGCCCUUAUAGUGCAAAACAUGGUUGUAAUUCCGGCAACCCGGAGACGUUCUGGACGCGGGUUCGAUUCCCGCCACCUCCACAGUGGGCAUUCUCGAGAGUGUCCAGUGUGGGGGUGCACCGGUUUCGACAGGGCGGGCAAUGGUGAGCAGGCAACCCGAGAGGCGACGGACGUAAUCCGCGCAAAUCCACAAACGCCAACGAUGAGCGUUUCGCUGUAGCCGCUUAAGGCAACAGCCGGGGCUGCCUGAGCCCUGUUACCAAAGACGGCGGGCGGGGGCUUCGGCCCCCGCUUCA
rnacentral:tmRNA from 1 species